AAUGGGUGUUCUUAAAUGUAAUUUCAUUGUGCAAACAAUGACAAUAAAGGCUUUCAUCAUCAUCGUCAUCGUCGUCAUCAAAAUUACAAUUAUAGGAAUGCAAGUAACUUUUAACUAUUGUUCAGUUUUAUUUAUAGAUAGCAAUACAUUGUUGUUGUUUAUUGUUUGUUUGUUUCUAUCCAGUAGGGUUAAUAAAGAUGGUUCUGUGGUUCUGAACCAGCAGGCCGGGCCACGCCUCCACACAGACUGAAGAAGAGUCAACGGGUCGCUCUUCCUCCUGUUUCAGACGGCAUGAAUGAAAUCUGUUCUCUGGAACCAGCUGAGUCAGAACCUGGACCAGGUGAGUCGGAACCUGGAACAGAUGAGUCAGAACCUGGACCAGUUGUUUCUACAGGUAAAUCCUGACCCCAUAAGCUGACCCACCAGAACAUACCUGACCCUAACCCCACAGGUACAGGCUUUGGUCCCCAUGGGUCCACAGAGUGCACGUUUCAGACCCACAGAGUGCUUCAGAUCCAGCAGAUGUGUGACAGGUGAAGUUCUGCAGACCUGCUCCAACAGGCCGAGCUGAGCCGAGCCAGGCUGGGCCGAGCCGCUCCUUGAGCUCCUGCCUGAGGAGAGGAGGUCUGAUGUGUCAGAGCUGCUCGUCACACACAACUGGAAAUAUUUACAACAUCCUGCCUUUCUUCAUCUGAAGUCAGGUUUAUUUAGAAUCACUUGGUCAUAAUUUACUGUCAGUCUGCAGUUUUCUCAGUUUUUACACUUCCUGUUUGUUUUUUAGUUUUAUUUUCUCAGUUUGUAGUUUUGUUUUGUCUCUGUCAGGUGGUUUUAUUAACCUAUAUCCUGUCUUCCACUUAUUUCUCUCAAAUAUAUUUAAUUUUAUUUUU